UGCCAGCAGCCGCGGUAAUACGUAGGGGGCUAGCGUUAUCCGGAUUUACUGGGCGUAAAGGGUGCGUAGGCGGUCUUUCAAGUCAGGAGUGAAAGGCUACGGCUCAACCGUAGUAAGCUCUUGAAACUGGGAGACUUGAGUGCAGGAGAGGAGAGUGGAAUGCCUAGUGUAGCGGUGAAAUGCGUAGAUAUUAGGAGGAACACCAGUUGCGAAGGCGGCUCUCUGGACGGUAACUGACGCUGAGGCACGAAAGCGUGGGGAGCAAACAGGAUUAGAUACCCUGGUAGUCCACGCUGUAAACGA
rnacentral:rRNA from 1 species